CCUACGGGUGGCAGCAGUCGAGAAUCAUUCACAAUGGGGGAAACCCUGAUGGUGCGACGCCGCGUGGGGGAAUGAAGGUCUUCGGAUUGUAAACCCCUGUCAUGUGGGAGCAAAUUAAAAAGAUAGUACCACAAGAGGAAGAGACGGCUAACUCUGUGCCAGCAGCCGCGGUAAUACAGAGGUAUCAAGCGUUGUUCGGAAUCACUGGGCGGAAAGCGUGUGUAGGCUGUUUCGUAAGUCGUGUGUGAAAGGCGCGGGCUCAACCCGCGGACCGGACAUGAUACUGCGAGACUAGAGUAAUGGAGGGGGAACCUGAAUUCUCGGGGUAGCAGUGAAAUGCGGAGAUAUGGAGAGGAACACUCGUGGCGAAGGCGGGUUCCUGGACAUUAACUGACGCUGAGGCACGAAGGCCAGGGGAGCGAAAGGGAUUAGAUACCCUGGUAGUC
rnacentral:rRNA from 1 species